rnacentral:rRNA from 1 species
UACGAGGGGGGCUAGCGUUGUUCGGAAUUACUGGGCGUAAAGCGCACGUAGGCGGACUCUUAAGUCAGGGGUGAAAUCCCGGGGCUCAACCUCGGAACUGCCUUUGAUACUGUGAGUCUCGAGACCGGAAGAGGUGAGUGGAAUUCCUAGUGUAGAGGUGAAAUUCGUAGAUAUUAGGAAGAACACCAGUGGCGAAGGCGGCUCACUGGUCCGGUGCUGACGCUGAGGUGCGAAAGAGUGGGGAGCAAACAGG